CAUGCAAGUCGAACGGCAGCAUGAUCUAGCUUGCUAGAUUGAUGGCGAGUGGCGAACGGGUGAGUAAUACAUCGGAACGUGCCCUGUAGUGGGGGAUAACUAGUCGAAAGAUUAGCUAAUACCGCAUACGACCUGAGGGUGAAAGUGGGGGACCGCAAGGCCUCAUGCUAUAGGAGCGGCCGAUGUCUGAUUAGCUAGUUGGUGAGGUAAAGGCUCACCAAGGCGACGAUCAGUAGCUGGUCUGAGAGGACGAUCAGCCACACUGGGACUGAGACACGGCCCAGACUCCUACGGGAGGCAGCAGUGGGGAAUUUUGGACAAUGGGGGCAACCCUGAUCCAGCAAUGCCGCGUGUGUGAAGAAGGCCUUCGGGUUGUAAAGCACUUUUGUCCGGAAAGAAAUCGCACUUACUAAUAUUAGGUGUGGAUGACGGUACCGGAAGAAUAAGGACCGGCUAACUACGUGCCAGCAGCCGCGGUAAUACGUAGGGUCCAAGCGUUAAUCGGAAUUACUGGGCGUAAAGCGUGCGCAGGCGGUUGUGCAAGACCGAUGUGAAAUCCCCGGGCUUAACCUGGGAAUUGCAUUGGUGACUGCACGGCUAGAGUGUGUCAGAGGGGGGUUAGAAUUCCACGUGUAGCAGUGAAAUGCGUAGAGAUGUGGAGGAAUACCGAUGGCGAAUGCAGCCCCCUGGGAUAACACUGACGCUCAUGCACGAAAGCGUGUGGAGCAANCAGGAUUAGAUACCUUGGUAGUCCACGCCCUAAACGAUGUCAACUAGUUGUUGGGGAUUCAUUUCCUUAGUAACGUAGCCAACGCGUGAAGUUGACCGCCUGGGGAGUACGGUCGCAAGAUUAAAACUCAAAGGAAUUGACGGGGACCCGCACAAGCGGUGGAUGAUGUGGAUUAAUUCGAUGCAACGCGAAAAACCUUACCUACCCUUGACAUGCCACUAACGAAGCAGAGAUGCAUUAGGUGCUCGAAAGAGAAAGUGGACACAGGUGCCGCAUGGCUGUCGUCAGCUCGUGUCGUGAGAUGUUGGGUUAAGUCCCGCAACGAGCGCAACCCUUGUCUCUAGUUGCUACGAAAGGGCACUCUAGAGAGACUGCCGGUGACAAACCGGUGGAAGGUGGGGAUGACGUCAAGUCCUCAUGGCCCUUAUGGGUAGGGCUUCACACGUCAUACAAUGGUGCAUACAGAGGGUUGCCAAGCCGCGAGGUGGAGCUAAUCCCAGAAAAUGCAUCGUAGUCCGGAUCGUAGUCUGCAACUCGACUACGUGAAGCUGGAAUCGCUAGUAAUCGCGGAUCAGCAUGCCGCGGUGAAUACGUUCCCGGGUCUUGUACACACCGCCCGUCACACCAUGGGAGUGGGUUUUGCCAGAAGUAGUUAGCCUAACCGCAAGGGGGGCGAUACCACGGCAGGGUUCAUGACUGGGGUGAAGUCGUA
rnacentral:rRNA from 1 species